rnacentral:lncRNA from 1 species
UGCUUUGGAACUGAUACUUAGUAUCAAUUCUAAGAUAUAAAAGAUUUUUUAGAGGAUGAGGGAAGAGAGAGGGAGAGGAAGAAAGAAAGAAAGAAAGAAAGAAAGAAAGAAAGAAAGAAAGAAAGAAAGAAAGAAAGAAAGAAAGAAAGAAAGAAAGAAAGAAAGAAAGAAAGAAAGAAAGAAAGAAAGAAAGAGAGAAAGAAAGAAAGAGAGAAAGAAAGAAAGAAAGACAGAUAGAAAGAAAAAGAAAAAGAGAGGAAAGAAAGAGAGAAAGAAAAAAGACAGAAAGAAAAAGGAAGGAAGGAAGGCAGGAAGGAAGGAAGGGAGGGAGGGAGGGAGGGAGAGAAAGAAAGAAAGGAAGGAAGAAAGAGAGAAAGAGAAAGGGAGAAAGAAAGAGAAAGAAAAAGAUAGAGAAAGAAAGAAAGAAAAAAGAGAGAGAAAGAAAAAGAAAGAAGAAAGAAAGAAAGAGAAAGGAAGGAAGGAAGGAAGGAAGGAAGGAAGGAAGGAAGGAAGGAAGGAAGGAAGGAAGGAAGGAAGGAAGGAAGGAGAAAAAGAGAGAGAAUGAAAGAUAAAGAGAGAGAAAGAAAGCAAGAAAGGAAGGAAGGAGGAGUGAUAGCUAUCACUGAGGGAAAGAAAGAAAGAAGAAAGAAGAAGGAAGAAAGAAGGAAGAAAGAAAGAAGGAGAGAGAGAGAAAGAAAGCAAGAAAGAGAGAGAGAGAGAAACAGAGAGGGGGGAGGGAGAGAGAGAGAGAGAGAGGGAGAGAGGGAGGGAGAAAGGAGAGAGGAAGGAAGGAGAAGGGAAGGAAGGAGGGAGGGAAGGAGGGAAGAGAUAAGUGAUAUUUGUUCUCUUGCCUAAGUUAGAAUCCCCUUAGUUCCCUAAACGUCCAUUGCAUAUUAGCCUGGCAUUGUGGUCAUGCACCUUUGAAUAAAUCUUUGUAAUGUAACA